rnacentral:rRNA from 1 species
AGAAAGUCACGGCUAACUACGUGCCAGCAGCCGCGGUAAUACGUAGGUGGCAAGCGUUGUCCGGAUUUAUUGGGCGUAAAGCGAGUGCAGGCGGCUNCNCUAAGUCUGAUGUGAAAGCCUUCGGCUCAACCGGAGAAUUGCAUCAGAAACUGUCGAGCUUGAGUACAGAAGAGGAGAGUGGAACUCCAUGUGUAGCGGUGAAAUGCGUAGAUAUAUGGAAGAACACCGGUGGCGAAGGCGGCUCUCUGGUCUGUUACUGACGCUGAGGCUCGAAAGCAUGGGUAGCGAACAGGAUUAGAUACCCUGGUAGUCCAUGCCGUAAACGAUGAGUGCUAAGUGUUGGGAGGUUUCCGCCUCUCAGUGCUGCAGCUAACGCAUUAAGCACUCCGCCUGGGGAGUACGACCGCAAGGUUGAAACUCAAAGGAAUUGACGGGGGCCCGCACAAGCGGUGGAGCAUG